rnacentral:rRNA from 1 species
AUGCCUAGCCCUAAAUCUUGAUGUCUUCAACACAUAGACAUCCGCCCGAGAACUACGAGCACAAACGCUUAAAACUCUAAGGACUUGGCGGUGCCCUAAACCCACCUAGAGGAGCCUGUUCUAUAAUCGAUAACCCACGAUACACCCAACCACUUCUUGCCAAAACAGCCUACAUACCGCCGUCGCCAGCCCACCUCCAUGAGAGCACAACAGUGAGCCAAACAGCCCACACAACCACGCUAACAAGACAGGUCAAGGUAUAGCCCACGAAGUGGAAGAAAUGGGCUACAUUUUCUACAAUAGAAAAGUCCAACGAAAGGGGAUCUGAAACCCAUCCCCAGAAGGCGGAU